GAAAUGCGAUAAGUAAUGUGAAUUGCAGAAUUCAGUGAAUCAUCGAAUCUUUGAACGCACAUUGCGCCCGCCAGUAUUCUGGCGGGCAUGCCUGUUCGAGCGUCAUUACAACCCUCAGGCCCCCGGGCCUGGCGUUGGGGAUCGGCGGAAGCCCCCUGCGGGCACAACGCCGUCCCCCAAAUACAGUGGCGGUCCCGCCGCAGCUUCCAUUGCGUAGUAGCUAACACCUCGCAACUGGAGAGCGUCGCGGCCACGCCGUAAAACACCCAACUUCUGAAUGUUGACCUCGAAUCAGGUAGGAAUACCCGCUGAACUUAAGC
rnacentral:misc_RNA from 1 species